AUACGGAGGGUGCAAACGUUGUUCGGAAUUACUGGGCGUAAAGCGCGCGUAGGCGGUUUGUUAAGUCAGAUGUGAAAGCCCAAGGCUCAACCUUGGACGUGCAUUUGAAACUGGCAGACUUGAGUACUGGAGGGGAUGGUGGAAUUCCCGGUGUAGAGGUGAAAUUCGUAGAUAUCGGGAGGAAUACCGGUGGCGAAGGCGACCAUCUGGCCAGAUGCUGACGCUGAGGUGCGAAAGCAUGGGGAGCAAACAGGAUUAGAAACCCUAGUAGUCC
rnacentral:rRNA from 1 species